CUUCCUCUCAUCUCAUAUCAUUAUUUAAGUUGUGCUCGUCUGAAUAGUAAGAUUCAUUUGAUUGCUUGUUCUGCUAAAAGCUGGGUGUGCAAGUUGUCUGACCUGAGACCUGACAGCAAGUGAUUAAGGAGCAUCAAAUAUAAAUCAAAUACUGCAUUUUUUGAUCCAGUGUGCGCUCACUAGCUGCCUGUCUGGUCUUUAAGGUAAGUACAGGUUGCUUUUUAAAUGGAAAGUCAUAAACCUAUGCAGAUUUUGCACAAAUGCAUCUGUUUUUCUAUUUUUAACGG